CCAAUCUUGCUUCCAAGAGCAGCUUUAUUCCAAAUAAUCCACAGGUCAAAAUGUAAAUGAUGAAUUCUCCACUGCUUACUUCGGACUAGCCAGUUGGUCCUGCCUAUGCUGCUGACAUAGCUUCAUGUGCCUUUGAGUCCAACAUAAGACAAAACAAAUUCCACGUUUGCAUCUCUUUGAAACUCCAUUGCCUGUGACUACUUGAUAUGGUUUGGCUGUGUCCUUACCCAAAUCUUAUCUGAAAUUUUAAUCUAAAUUGUAAUCCCCAGGUGUCCAGGGAGGGACCUGGUGGGAGGUGAUUGGAUCAUGGGAACGGAUUUCCCCCUUGCUCUUCUUGUGAUAGGAGUGAGUUCUCACGAGACCUGAUGGUUUUAUAAGAGGCUCUUCCCCUUCCCUCCCUCUCUCUCUCUCUCUCUCUCUCUCGCUGCCUUGUGAAGAAGGUGUCUGCUUCCCCUUCAUCUUCCGCCAUGAUUGUUAAAUUUCCUGAGGCCUCCUCAUCCAUAUGGAACUGAACCAUGAUAGUGUUUGGUACAUAGAGGACACUGGAAAUGGUUUUCUUAACUGAACAAGUGACUAGAAUAAAGGAAUUAAUGAACGACAUCAGAGCUGAAAUCCCAAACCAUAAAUCAUAAAAGGAUCAGACAGCAAAGAGUACUCAAAAGCUGAUUUAUUGAGAUCCUGAUGAGUUUGAAGUAACUAGAAACUUGAUCAAACAGUGACAAGACCCAAGAUUUGUUUUACUCUAAAGUGAGAAAUUAUCCUCAACAAAAAAACAUUUCACAGUGAGAAUCAGAAGAAUAUUUGCAUCAGGCAACUCUGGGUGCUAGAUAUUUAUUUUUUUUCUUUUUCACAUGAACUAUAAAAACUUACCACAAAAGACUGAUCUCCACAACUGCUUAUACUCUAGGAUUAUUAUACAUUGCACUGUUCUUGCUGAUACUCCAAAGACAUGUAGAAAAUAGAAAGAGAUUCCAAAAUGAAAGAAAAGUCAUCCUCUCUGGAAAUGUGAAGCAUAACUAAAGUUUGACCAACAAGUUGUAGAAGUGAAAGGCAUCAAAUAUAAUAACCAAAGAAAACAGAAAAAUACCACACGUCCGGUAAUUCCUCAGCUGGCAGUAAAAACAGAUGAUUGAUUUAAACCUUUUCUCUACAUACAUUCUCAGGCUGGAUUAUAGUGGCAUAAUCUCGGUUCACUGCAACCUCUGCCUCCGGGGUUUCAGCGAUUCUCCCACGUCAGCCCGCUUAGGAGCUGGGACUACAGGCACGUGCCAACGUGCCCAGCAAAUUUUUUGUAUUUUUAGUAGAGACGGGGUUUCACCAUGUUGUCCUGGCUGAUCUCGAACUCCUGACCUUAAAUGAUCCACCCGCCUCGACCUUCCAAAGUUCUGGGACUACAGGUAUGAACCACUGUGGCCUGCAAAAUUAAAAAUUUUAACUUGAAAACUGGAAAACUACAACUCAGAAGCUAUAAUCAUAUAAAUUGUUCAUUGGUAGUUUAUUGGCACAUACCAAUAUAACCUAAAGUAUUUUGUCACCUGAAUGUAAAACAUGGUGAGAUAUAUAUCCUCCUUUAGCUACUUUCUUUACUUUUCUCCUUGAAAUGUAACAUUUUAUAGAUAAUACUCAGGGCAAUCUUUAAAAAUAUUGUCUGUGAUGUACCCUGUGAUUUAAGCCAAGUGAAAAAAAAUAUUAUAAAAUUUGUAUUGUAGAAAUACGACUCACAACAUGUAGAAAUGUUAGUAAAGUUUGUUUAACAAGUUUUAUUAAAAGGAAUGCAACUGUGCUUACAAGCCUAUGGUAGUUCCCCAUGUUCCUGAAGUUAAGGAGAUGCCAGAUCCUGAGAAAUAAGAAUAAUAAAAUGUUGAGUUUGCUCUAGAAAGAAGCAUGAAUUUUAAUACCAUGCAUGAACAAAAAGUAAGUUAUCAGAAAUGGGUUACAACACUAUGGGGUGAUCAGAAUAGGCCUCAUCAAGAUGAUGACAUUUGAGCAAAGACUAGAUAAUAAAGGAAUUAUCAAGAAGAUAUCUUGAGGGAAAAUAUUAUGGGCUGAGUGAUAAUAUGUGCAAAUGUUACAUUAUAGUGUGAGGAAGUCAUAAAAACAUGGUUAUUGGUGAUAUUAUACAUAAAAUAAUAAAGCCAUUGCAAACUCAGAUAAAUCAGUUCUCGAACGAGAGACGAACACACUUGUUUCUUACAGAAUUUACAGUGAGAAAAUGCAUCUUUUAAGAAUAAACAUUCUGGUACACUAUUUCAUGUUUAUUUAGAGUGCAGAGUAUUUCACUUAUAUUGCUUAGUAACUCCAAGAUAAGAAAUUAAUUUUUUUUUUACAAUUUCACAGGCAGACUGACUUUUGUUAUGGUAGAAUAAGGAGAUAAUCUCAAUAAGCAAUUAUAUAACUCGGGGAAAAUAUUAAAAAAAAAACACCCACAUGUUGCAGGCAUUUGGGUAUCAACCAAAUGCAUACAACACAUUGAGAAGCAUUUAUUCACAAUAAUCCUUGGUGUUCUUAUCCAGACUAUUACUAUCACCCACUGAUUGGUCAGCAGUUCUAUAAGUCAGGAAAUACCACAAAAGCCAAGCCCUCUACUCGCCAAGGAAAUCACUUGAUUAGGAACAGAAAACAAAACAGUCAUGCCCAGCAGUGAUGUCAGUGAAAUUAUCAAUUUCAGUUUCAAGUGAAGAGAGAAAGUUUAGUGGACCAGCCAUUUUGAUCUUGUCUCCUAGCUGGGAGGAGCAAUGGGACACUAAAAUAGCCAACAUUUUCAAAAGGAGAUUUUAUAGAUGAGGCAGAGUGGCUUGAUAAUUUAUCUACAGUUCCUAGACUGACUUGAUUGCUGCAACUAGUGAAGACCAAAACAGAAGACUCAAGCUGUUAAGCUAUGUACAUAUUAUUUUGGCUGUCAAGAAGACGGUGAUCAUGCAUAGAGGAGAGAUAAAGGGUCCAGCAAAAAGUAAAAGUUAGAGUAAGUCUGAAUUCUUUUUCUUAAUUUUGGAAGUAUUCCACAACCCACACACACAUCUGUCAACAGGGGUUGGAAGCCUUCUUGGCAGAUGUUUGGACAUAAUAUUACACACCUGUAGUCCCUGCUCCUUGUAAGGCUAAGGUGGGAAGAUCAUUUUAGCCUGGAGGCAGAGGUGGCAGUGAUCCAAGAUUGCACCACUGCACUCCAGCCUGGGUGACAGAGUGAGGUCCUGUUAAAAAAAAAAAAAAAUGAAAAGUAAAAGCAGAAACAUCAGCAGUCCCAUACUAGAAUGGAGUCAGAUUGUCCAGAUUUAGCUUAACAAAGUAACAACUUACUAAAUAAACAAUGAAACAAAACAAAAAUAGCAACAGCUUUUGGGAGGAAAAUUGAGAAUCUGGAAUUCCUGCAAUAUAAUAUCGAAAAUGUCUAGAUUUAUUUUUCUAAUUAAGAGACAUAAAAAGAGAAAAGUUAGUCACGGAGUGGAAGGGGCAGUCUGUCAAGAAAACUGAGUGUACUCAGAUGUUGGAUUUGUUAUAGUAUACAGCAAAUUCAAAGCAGCUAUUAAAAUACUUUCAGUAUUAAAGAAAGUAUAAUGAUAAUGAAUCAAAAAAUAGAAAAUAUCAACAAAUGAAUAGUAAUUACAAUAACCAAAUAGUUAUCCUGAAAUUAAAAAAUUGAAUAACUGAAAUAAAGUUCAGUAGAGUAACUCAACAGCAUAGGUCAGGUUACAAAUGAAAAAUUAAGCAAAAUAUAAAUGUAGAUUAAUAGAAGCUGUCCAACAAGAGAAGAAAUGAUAAAACUGUACAUAAGAGCAACAUCAAGCAUACUGAUGUAUAUGUAAUGUGUGUGCCGAGAGAAGAAAAAGAUAGGAGCAGAAAAAAUAUUUAAACAUAUAGUUACCUAAAGCUUCUUAAAUUUGAUGGGAAAAAAUUAUCCACAUUUCCAAGUUUAAUGAAUUACAAAUAGGACAAGCAGAAAGUGAGCCAUACCUGAACAUAUCAUAGUCAAACUGUUGAAAGCACAGACAAGGAGACCACCUUGAAAUCAGUAAGACAAAAUGACUUAUCAUGUAAAGAGGGAGAUCUAUACAAUUAACACUGAUUUUUGAUAUAAAGCAAAGGAAGUUACAACGUAUUGAAAUAGCAUAUGUUUCAAACACUGAAAGAAACAAGCAAACGAACAAGAAACAAAAGAACCAUAACAAAGAAUCCUAUAUCCAGCAAAACUACUCUUCAAAAAAAAACAUGGUAAAAUGAAGACAUUCCUAGAAACAUGAUGAUCAAGAAAAUUCAUUACUACCAUAUAUGUCUUCGAAUAAAUUCUUAAGAGAGUUCUUCAAACAGAAAGGAAAUAAUACUGGCAGCUAAUUCAAACCCAUAGGAAGAAACCAAAACAACUAGUCUUGGUAAAUUUAAAAUUAUUUCUAAAUAUAUUUUCUCUUAGCUUAUUUCAAUGUUACAAGGUUAUAUAAAGCAAUUACAGCAUUGAGUUGUCAUGUCUAUUGCACACAGAGAUGUAGUGCAUAUGAAAAUCAUAAAAGAUAAUAGGGGAGAUAAAAUGCAGCUAUACUGGAAAAAAUUUUUCUCUAAUUUAUAAAAAUUAGCUAAGUAUUGAUCAAUAUGUAUCUAUCUAUCCAUCUAUGUAUAUAUCUAUAAAAACACACAGGCAUACUACACACACAAAGAAAAAGUAAUAUUCAAUACUAUAGUCACAUUUAAAAUUUAAUUUCAGAUACAUUAAAGAUACACAAAAUAAUAACUUUAAACUAUCAGUUAAAACAUUUUUUAUAUAUAAUAUAGGCAAAAUUAUAAUUAAAAUUUUAAUUAGGCUGGGCGCAGUGGCUCACGCCUUUAAUCCCAGCCUUUGGGAGGCCGAGGCGGGUGGAUCACGAGGUCAGGAGAUCAAGACCAUCGUGGCUAACACGGUGAAACCCCAUCUCUACUAAAAAUACAAAAAAUUGGCCUGGCGUGGUGGCGGGAGCCUGUAGUCCCAGCUACUUGGGAGGCUGAGGCAGGAGAAUGGCGUGAACCCCAGAGGCAGAGCUUGCAGUGAGCCGAGAUCAUGCCACUGCACUCCAGCCUGGGUGACAGAGCCAGACUCCAUCUCAAAAAAAAAAAAAAACAAUUUAAUUAAACACACUUUUUCUAAUUCACCCUAACGGACAUAAAUUUUUCUAGGUGUUCAGCAUCCAAUAAUGAAUAUUACUGACAAAUAUCCCUCUCUCAUGUGGCUUACAGUCUCAUGUGUUUAACAGUAUACACACAACCAAAUGAAUGAAGUGUAAAAUUUUACACAGUACAAUGAAAAUCUUAAAUGAUAUGAGAUACUACAAACAAAAUAGAAAGACAAAUUAUACGCUGAAACAAGGUAUAUAGUACAUACAUAACAACAGAGGCUUUUACUCCAGAGUAUGUAAGACGAGUUCAUAUAUCAGCGAGAACAAUAAGAUGUGCCAAGAUAAAUAUGAAAAAGUCUGUAAAGAGAAAAUUUGAAUGACCAAUAAGCAAAUGAAAGAUGCUCAAAUUAAUCAUUUAUUUAAGAAAACUUACUUAAAACAAUACUGAAAAAUAAUUUACACUCAUAGGAUUAAACAGUUUUAAAAGUUGGCUAAUAUGAAGCUGUCAAAAGUUUAAAGGAUGAAAAAUGGGGCAAAAGAACACUAUGCUACUUUCUGAUAGUGUAAGUUCAGGAGAAAUUGGCAAUAUCAAAAAAGUUAAAAAUGGCUGGAAAUUAUGCUCAACAAUUUACUCCAAAAAAAAAAAUGCUUGUAUUUGUACAGAAGGAAAUAUGGCCACUAGUGUUUAUGGCAGUAAUUGUGUGUAAUUAUGAAAACACUAAAACAUCCUAAAAUUUCGAUGUGGUGGUAGAAGAAAAAUCAAUGUAGCUCAUUAGUAUUAGGGAAUAUUACACAGUAAUUGAUUAACAGAUUAAUGCACUAGAGCUACAUAAUUCUCAAAACCAUCCUGUUAAAGGAGAAAGGAAGAGUGCUUUAUGAUGGUAAAGAAAUGUCAUUAUUUGACUUUUAUAAAUACACAAAACCAAUCCCUUACAUUAUUUAUGUGUGGAUAUGUGAGCAGUUAUAUAUAAGCACAAAACUGGAUACAAAAAUAUCUGAAUGUUCACACUAACUUGAGAUUAGUGGAAAAAAAAGAAGUAACCUGUGGAACUUGGCCAUAAACUGGGCUUUUCACAAAAAAAUAGCUAUGAAUCUGAUAAGUGAAAUUGCUAACAUCUUCCAAAAUUAGUGUUCAAAACAUUGUGUUUUUUGUAUUAUUUUUGUAGUUAUGUGUUUUUAAAUAAUUGUAUAAUUUUAUUGCUAAAAUAUAAAAUUCUGUUACC
rnacentral:lncRNA from 1 species